UAGCUGCAGCUCCCAGUGAACAGGAGGAUUUUAUUAGAGGAAGUCAGGCACAGUCACACAGAGAAACAUUAGACCUCACACUGAAACGGAGCUACAGCUCUGUGUCUUGUAGAAGAUUUAUUUUCAAAGCUACAUGUGUGACGGUAAUAAUCCGUGCCAGAGCAGACCUCAUUAGCACUUCUGCUAGGUCGGCUACCCUUUCCGGUCACUCCAGGGACGCUGUUGUCGUUCAGUAAUUCAGUCCUUCGGCUGAUUGGACCAACAGACACUGAAGGACUCCGACAGCUGAGUGAAAGUAGCAGUUCCUCCUUAAGGUCAGAGAUUGCAGCAACUGAGGACCUCUGCAAAAGAAGACGUAGUUGAUGAAGGCGUUCUGGAGCAGGACCAGAAAGACCACGACCAAGCAGCCUUGAGAUCUUAGGCAGCGUCUCCCUCAGGUCCCUCUCUAUCUCCCCACACAUCCACCAACCACUGGAACACAUCUCCAAAGUUCUGCCGGGCCAGCUCAGCUUCCCCUCAGAAGAAGUUCCGCCACCUGCCAGAUGAAGGAGCCUUUUGAGAGGCAGCUGACAUCGUGUUUGGACUGUACUUUGGUCUGUUCCAAUCCAGCUUCAGCUCCAGAGACGGCAGGCGGGACGAGUCAACGGAGGCCGGGUGGACGAAGGCAUGCAGCUGAGUACAAUCCAGAAAACAACAGAGGAGGAGUGCAGUGGCCCAGAGCCAGAACAAACAGAGUAGCAUCGUAUGUCUCUUAGAAAACAACAUAGUAUAGCCUUUGGUAUGAAAAAACACCAUCAUAUACAUCGUAUAUUGUACAAAUAACAAGUCAAAGGAGAGAGACAUACAUUGUAGAAUUGUAGUAAUUGUGGGCUGACUGAUUUACUGAUUAUCAGUAUUUUUUACUGAUUUACGGUAAUAAAUACAUUUAAAAAUGGCGCUACUUUGGCUCUGAACCUUUAUCUACCUGUGGUCGCUCUGUCUUCUGGAGUGAUUUGAUUGGUUAUACGUCACGAAUAAAACUCCUUUAACUUAACAUCUGUAAACAAAACAAAAAAAUUAUCAACAAAGUUAUCUUUUAAAGUUUGUGUUCUUCUAAGUUUAACUCCAAGAUUUUAAAUACUUUCAUUUACUGCAAAUGAAUAUCUACUCCAAAUGUCUCACUAAUAAUCAUUAUCAGCCUUAAAAACCCACAAAACACCCCUCUAUACUCGACCACACUUAGUACAGUCUGGUUCCCCCUUCUAUAAAUCUGCUUGGAAUCUUCCACUUCCUGUUUGUCAAAGUGGCCUUCUACCUGGACAGGUUUUGUUGGAGCUCAUGCAACAAACAUUUUGGGUAACUGCACUUUAAUAUGGGUGGAUGACACUGAAUUAGAGUCUGUUUUAAUGAGACUGAGUUAAGAUGUGUAGCUCUGUCAUUAAAUAGGAAAUGAUUUCUCAGAAUUCACAGAGAAAAGUCUGAAAUGUUUGCUAGGUUAGCGUCCCACAUGUUCUUUGGCUCCGCUAAAGCUAACUCUCUCCAACUUCUGGAUCUCUUGAGUUGCUUGUUGUUAAAAUAUCUUGCUAGAGGUGCUGAAGCUCAGAAAGUCUGAGAUGUUUGUUCAAAAUAAGCUCAUUCUGAAGUCUUAUCUGAACUGUCCUCUUUUGUUUGAACUUUCCCUAAACUUAGGAGUGAAUGACAGAGCAGCACAUCCAGACUCAGUCUCAUUUAUGUAGAAAUUAAACUUCAGUGUCAUUCAUUGAUGUUAAAGUGCAGUUUUUCAAAUGUUUGUUGCACAUGCUCCUGACCAAACCGGUCCAGGUGGAAGACGAUGUGAAGAGAAAGCUCCAGAUGAUGAAUAUCACACAUUUACGUUGGAAAUAAAUGUCCUUUAAUUUGACAUUGUCAUGCAAAAGUUGGAUUUCCCUUUAAUGAUGUUCAAAUCUUUGUUGAGUGUUUUGUUGAUUGUUUGAUUUUUACAGCUCACAAGCUGCAACAAUUCACACAUUAUCAACUAUCUUUCUGACUAAACUAAGAUAAAAAGUGAAAAACUGCCUGAUUCCUGCAUCAUGAAUGUAAAUCUUUUUGGUUUUUAUGACAGUAAACUGAAUAUAUUUGGGUCUGACAUUUUAUAAACCAAAAGAAGUAAUAAAUUACUGGAGAAAACAACAGAUCAACAGAUUAAUGGUCAAAGAAAAUGUGUUUUCCAUCAUAUAUGGCUGAAUUACUCCAACAUUACAAGAUACAUGCAAUUUUAAUUCAAUUUUAUUUAUAUAACGCCAAUUACAGGUCAAAUUGUCUCAAGACACUUUAUUUUUAUAUUUUUUGUCAUAUUUAAAAUAUGACAAAGUAAGAAAUUUAAACCUCUUGACUAAUCCAAUUUAUUAUUUGGUUUUUAAGAGAUUAAUCGACAUCUAAAAUAACUUUCUCCACUAAAACUAAUAAACAUGAGGUCAAAUAGAAGGAACAGUUUUAAAUACUGCAGUCCCACGAUGACAAGAAAGUUUCUCAGCAAAAACUAAAUCUGCUGGUGGAUUCCAUUAAAGUCGUAAUAAAUGAUAAUAAAGUGUGAUACUAAAGGUUUGUGGUGCUAAAAAUCUCAAAAGAUAUCAAGUUGAACGUUUGAAUGGAGUUUGAUAAAAGUUGACCUUCCUUCAUUUCUCUGGAGUCGACUCCAUGGAUUUUAUGGAUGGUGGUUAAAGACCUGCUCUUCUAGUCGUCUUCCUUCUAGUCGCUGUAAAAAGUCAGUCCAUCCUGGCCGACUUCAACACCUCUUCAUGACAGCUUGUUCUGCCGCCGACCUGGUGGAAACUCCAGAAACUAGGGAAAACCCAUGGAGACUCGAAGAACUCGUGGAGAC